CAGACCUGUGUUCGUAGGAAUAACUAUACAGAGUAACUGUACAGGUGCAGAGCGGGGCAGGAAUUGCAGAUCCUUUAGGACCGCUGGUUCAACCACUCCAAGGGCCGGCUCCUGCGCUUUGGCCACAACAACCCCAGGCAGCGCUGCAGGCUAGGGGCAGGGAAGGAGGAAAAGCAUCGGGAAAGCUGCCCCAGCAGAAAAGGACCCGAGGGUGCUGGUCAACAGCAGCUGAACGUGAGCCAGAGUGUGCCCAGGCGGCCAAGAAGGCCAAUGGCAGCCUGGCCUGGAUCAGCAAUAGCGUGGCCAGCAGGAGCAGGGCAGGGAUUGUCCCUCUGUCCCUCGGCACUGGUGGAGUUUACAUCUGAACUGUGACCAGUUCCUCCCUACGAGAAAGUCCAGAGAAGGGCAGCGGAGCUGGGGGAGGGUCUGGAGCACAAGUCCUGUGAGGCGCACCUGAGGGAGCUGGGGUUGUUCAGCCUGGGAAAAAGAGGCUUGGGAGACCUUACUGCUCUCGACAGCUGCCUGAGCGAAGGCUCCCAGGUAACAAGUGACAAGACAUGAGGACAUGGCCUCAGACUGCACCAGAGGAGGUUUAUGUUGGACAUCAAGAGGAACCCAUCACGGAACGGGUUGUUAAAUGUUGGAAUGGGCUGCCCCGUGGCAUGAAGUCACCAUCCCAGGAGGUGUUCAAGAAACAACUAGAUGUGAUGGCAUUUGGUGCUACGGUCUAGUUGACCGUGGUGGAUGAACAGUCAAAAGUUGGACUUGAUCUCAGAGUCUUUUCCAACCUAAAUGAUUCAGUGAUGCAGUGACCUCUCAGUCUGACAUUCAUCCAAGUCCUAACUGAAAUGUUAUUUUCAACACUGUGUGGUAAAACUGCACUUUAUAUAAGAAGUUCAGGCUGUGGGCAUCUCCUGGAUUUUAAGUCAAUGAGAUUCAAAUUGCCAGUGCUCUGAUUCAAAGAUCUUAAAAAUCUGCUUUGUUGUCUGCAAUUGCAUACUCACAUUCAGAAGGCCAAUCUCUGCUGCAAACAAACACCUUUUUUUUCAGACUUACAUAAUGACAACUUCUUAGAAAAGGGAAAAAAUAUUUGUAUGUAAGGAUUCUUACUACCUGCACGUAUGUCAUUCACCUGUAAAGCACCUACUUUUAGUGAGACUGCUGUCAAAACUCUGGAUUUAAGAAAAAACCCAAACAAAAAUCAGCAUGGUACCAGAUGCUGUGGAAGGUUUGGGGUUUAGGACUGUCUGUCAUCGACCAUUGAACUGCAAACAAGUAGACAGACCAGCAUGGAAAAGUAAGCUGAACCCCUAAAGCACAGCUGAGUCCGUUGCCUUCUCCUCACAACUGGCUUCAAGAGCACAAAAGAAUUUAAAAUGAGAGCAAAGCAUCUCAGAAAACUUGGUGACGGCCAGUGGAGACCAUGCCAGCUGUCAGAAAGAAGGAAACACACCCUCCCGGGUCACUUCCCUCACAGCUGCUUGAACACGCUGUUAGAGCCAGGCCCUGCAUUGUCCAGAUGGCAGGCAAAGAAUUUGUCUCAUGGCCCUCUGUGCAUUGCUGCUUUUGAAGAGUUCACAAACCAGCCUCAGUUCUUGCAGGCCCAAAGGAUUUUCCUCAUGCCAAAACUUGCCCUGUGCCUCUUUACUAAAGCUGCAAGACUAGCUGGAGCAGAGAAGCCUUGGAGCUUUUACUGUGCUUUGCAAACCUAGAUUACAUCGAUCACAUUGACUGGUCACAACGACUUUACUCAUACAAAGACCAGGUAAACAUCAGAGGCUCUGUGGGACUCAUGAGAGCAACACAGCCCCUUCCACCAACUAAAUGUAGUGGCACAGGAUACUGAUUUUGCUGCUUCAGUAAUAAAGUAUGUCUCAGCAUUUGGACUUA